rnacentral:rRNA from 1 species
AUGCUUGGUGUGAAUUGCAGAAUCCCGUGAACCAUCGAGUCUUUGAACGCAAGUUGCGCCCCAAGCCAUUAGGCCGAGGGCACAUCUGCCUGGGUGUCACGUAUCGUCGCCCCUCCCCACCCCUCUUCGCGGAGUGCGGGGCGAAAAAUGGCCUCCCGUGCGCAACUCGCUCGCGGUUGGCCCAAACAUGAGUCCCAGGCGACCAGAGCGCCGCGACGAUCGGUGGUGUGUCCUUAUGCUCGUCGCGCGUCGCGCGCGCCGGUCGCCCUUAGGGAUGCCUCGAGACCCUUAAGCGUCCCCUCGAAGACGCUCGCAUCGCGACCCCAGGUCAGGUGGGACUACCCGCUGAGUUUAAGCAUAUCAAUAAGCGGAGGAAAAGAAACUUACCAGGAUUCCCUUAGUAACGGCGAGCGAACCGGGAAGAGCCCAGCUUGAAAAUCGGGCGCCCUCGGCGUCCGAAUUGUAGUCUGGCG